GUUGCUGCUCAGUGGUAUAGCACUUGCCUAGCAUGCAUGAGACCCUGAAUUCAAUUCCGAGCACCA
rnacentral:tRNA from 1 species